rnacentral:ncRNA from 1 species
CAGGAAGCCGGUGCGAACCCGGCACGGUCCCGCCACUGUGACCGUCCGGCACCCCCAGGGGCCGGGCGGGAGUCAGACACUG